rnacentral:rRNA from 1 species
UACGAAGGGGGCUAGCGUUGCUCGGAAUCACUGGGCGUAAAGGGUGCGUAGGCGGGUCUUUAAGUCAGGGGUGAAAUCCUGGAGCUCAACUCCAGAACUGCCUUUGAUACUGAAGAUCUUGAGUCCGGGAGAGGUGAGUGGAACUGCGAGUGUAGAGGUGAAAUUCGUAGAUAUUCGCAAGAACACCAGUGGCGAAGGCGGACUCACUGGCCCGGUACUCGGACGCUGAGGCACGAAAGCGUGGGGAAGCAAACAGGG